rnacentral:rRNA from 1 species
UACGUAUGGCGCAAGCGUUAUCCGGAAUUAUUGGGCGUAAAGAGCUCGUAGGCGGUUUGUCGCGUCUGCCGUGAAAGUCCGGGGCUCAACUCCGGAUCUGCGGUGGGUACGGGCAGACUAGAGUGAUGUAGGGGAGACUGGAAUUCCUGGUGUAGCGGUGAAAUGCGCAGAUAUCAGGAGGAACACCGAUGGCGAAGGCAGGUCUCUGGGCAUUAACUGACGCUGAGGAGCGAAAGCAUGGGGAGCGAACAGG